rnacentral:rRNA from 1 species
GUUUCCUUCGGGGAAUGAGUAAAGUGGCGCACGGGUGAGUAACACGUAGGUAAUCUACCUUCGGGUGGGGAAUAACGCAGGGAAACUUGCGCUAACACCGCAUAAUGCAGCGGCACCACAUGGUGACAGUUGUUAAAGCGGGGGAUUUUAGGACCUCGCGCCUGAAGAGGAGCCUGCGGCAGAUUAGCUAGUUGGUAGGGUAACGGCUUACCAAGGCGACGAUCUGUAACCGGCCUGAGAGGGCGGUCGGUCACACUGACACUGACAUACGGGUCAGACUCCUACGGGAGGCAGCAGUCGGGAAUUUUGGGCAAUGGGCGAAAGCCUGACCCAGCAACGCCGCGUGAAGGAUGAAAUCCUUCGGGAUGUAAACUUCGCAAGAAUGGGAAGAAUGAGCGAGUACUAAUACUGCUCGUGAUGACGGUACCAUUUGUAAGCUCCGGCUAACUCCGUGCCAGCAGCCGCGGUAAUACGGGGGGAGCAAGCGUUGUUCGGAUUUACUGGGCGUAAAGGGCGCGUAGGCGGUCAGCACAAGUCAGUUGUGAAAUCUCCGGGCUUAACUCGGAAAGGUCAACUGAUACUGUGCGACUAGAGUGCGGAAGGGGCAACUGGAAUUCUCGGUGUAGCGGUGAAAUGCGUAGAUAUCGAGAGGAACACCUGCGGCGAAGGCGGGUUGCUGGGCCGACACUGACGCUGAUGCGCGAAAGCCAGGGGAGCGAACGGGAUUAGAUACCCCGGUAGUCCUGGCCUUAAACGAUGGAUGCUUGGUGUCCGGAGUUUUAUAGUCUCCGGGUGCCGUAGCUAACGCGUUAAGCAU